rnacentral:misc_RNA from 1 species
UCUCCGUUGGUGAACCAGCGGAGGGAUCAUUACAGGAUUCGCAAGAACUCCCGUAACCACUGUGAACCUUACCUUCUGUUGCCUCGGCAGAAGCUGCUCGGUGCACCCUACCUUGGAACGGCCUACCCUGUAGCGCCUUACCCUGGAACGGCUUACCCUGUAACGGCUGCCGGUGGACUACCAAACUCUUGUUAUUUUAUUGUAAUCUGAGCGUCUUAUUUUAAUAAGUCAAAACUUUCAACAACGGAUCUCUUGGUUCUGGCAUCGAUGAAGAACGCAGC